rnacentral:lncRNA from 1 species
GAUUUUAGAUUUUAAAUUUGAAUUAAAAUUUUAAAUUUAGAUUUAAAAAUUCAAAUUUUGAAUUUUAAAAUUUCAAAUUUAAAAUUUUAAUUUUAAUUUAAAUUUUAAAUUAUUUUAUUAUAAAAUUUAGUAAAAUUAUUAAUAUAUGCAAACAUCAAAAAUUUUUUGCCAAAUAGCUUUACAAAAUCACUUCAAAAAAAUCGCUUUUAUUUAUACUUAGCCAAAUGCUAUAUAGCUUUUAACCAAAAUUAAUUCUCCAAAGCGAAAUUAAUUCUGCAGAAAUCACUUUUCCAGAAUAUAGGCCAAACGGGCCAUAACCUUAUCAUUCACUUUUGAAACCAAAUGUAUAUAUUUAAAUUUUGGAAUUUUUUGCAUUGCAAUAGUUUUAAAUUUCAAAACGAUUCUGUAUAAAACUUUAAAUGGAGUCAUUUGAUAACUAUUGUUAUA